UCCUCCCUCUUUCUUCGUGCUUAACACAUGCAAGUCGAACGGAAAGGCCCUGCUAUUGUGGGGUGCUCGAGUGGCGAACGGGUGAGUAACACGUGAGUAACCUGCCCUUGACUUUGGGAUAACUUCAGGAAACUGGGGCUAAUACCGGAUAGGAGAUCCUGCUGCAUGGUGGGGGUUGGAAAGUUUCGGCGGUUGGGGAUGGACUCGCGGCUUAUCAGCUUGUUGGUGGGGUAGUGGCUUACCAAGGCUUUGCCGGGUAGCCGGCCUGAGAGGGUGACCGGCCACAUUGGGACUGAGAUACGGCCCAGACUCCUACGGGAGGCAGCAGUGGGGAAUAUUGCACAAUGGGCGGAAGCCUGAUGCAGCAACGCCGCGUGCGUGAUGACGGCCUUCGGGUUGUAAACCGCUUUCGCCUGUGACGAAGCGUGAGUGACGGUAAUGGGUAAAGAAGCACCGGCUAACUACGUG
rnacentral:rRNA from 1 species